rnacentral:sRNA from 12 species
UCUGUGGAGUGCCACAUCAAACUGGAGUAGCUACGGCUAAACAGGGUACGAUGAAGCAGAAA